rnacentral:ribozyme from 1 species
AAGAAAGGCAAAGGAAAACCAAAACCAAAACCAAAAAAGUAAAACAUGUUUACUAGAGUUUGUAGAUGUCUCUUAUACAUUAUAUUUUAUAUCAUUCGAUGUUCCUUCUAAUCUUAUGGUAAUGAGU